GUAAACGUCUUCUCUUUCUACGCUCAGAACAUUUGGAGGCUGCAGGAAGGAGGGAUCACAAGGGGGAAAAAGGCACCAACCAAGACCCGAUCUGCGUUUGUACAUGAGCAAGGAGCAGGCUUUAUCCCUGAAGCCACUGAGGGUGCAGUUGGGUGAUGGCAACAGGGGGCGUUACCCUAACAAUCCGAUCUCGUGAACUUGAGAAAGAGAGUGGACUCAGAGCAGCUGUCGGUGGGCCCACUGAAGACUCUCGGUGACCUUGUCAGGACACUGGACGAGGUUGACCCAUUUCAUAGUUCCAUAGCAGGGAUGGGCAAAGGUGCCUCAGUGGCUGCAGGACCCUCACACAACCCGGAGAGAGGGAACCCUGAGAAUGGCUGAAACUGGACUUCCUGUCACACACGAAUACGUUUGAACUGACUGACACGUUCUCCAGCUCCCCACCCUGGCAGGUUGGCGGGAGGUCAGUUCCCAGGGUUAAGAGCGCUGCCUCCUGUCCUCAUGUCUCUCUCAUGGGCAGGCCUGUCUUCUGAUUCAGGACGAGCAGAACGAACCACCGGAAGGAGCCACCAGGGUCUGCACCCUGCAUUAUACUCCAGCAAGUGCUAAGAAUCUGGCUGAGUUCUGACUAAUUGGGAAACCCACCACCUUUAGCUUGCACGCACGCACGCGCACGCACGCACUUCUGCCUAGGACCUACGUUUUUGAAUGAAGCUGAGCAUUGAACCAGAGUCUCCUACAUCUUUUGGAAAAGCAAAGCCGGAGACGACCUGAGCAGCAGACGAGAUGGCGUGGUGUGAGUCCUUCACCUCCGUUCCACCCUGGCCCUGAAGAAACUGGCUUCAGAUCCUGGGACGUGGAUGACGGAAGAGGGGAAGAUAAUCAGAUUUUCGUCAGUCUUGAUAACAAGGUCACAGGUCCUCUGACAGUAGCCAAGGUCUAACCUGUGCUGGACAUACAUACACGGAUAUGUGGCCUUCCACGGGAGCAUGGUUGACCUACCUGUGGCAAAUCUUCGGUGGCAAAGGUGGAUCUUCAUUUGUCUGCUUCUUUUGACAUUCUUGGCCUAAGACAGUCAUAGUCCUAAUUACAAUGAGUUCGGCUAGCCACUAUCCUUGACUUUCCCUUUCUGUCAAUUUUGAAGGCAUUCAUUCAUUCAUUCAUUUGCAUAGGUCUUUCUGUCAUCGGCCACAGUUGGGUUAGUUUGGUGUCCAGCACAGAGGACCUCAUAGCCAGAUGUGGAUGUGCAAAGGAGGAUUGGACACUUGUCUGUGAUUGACGGCUUGGAGAAUUCCAUAUGUCAGCCUUCUGUGGCUACAAGAAGUCUCCCACACCUCCUGAAUAUUCCAGAUGUCUCAGGCAGGGAUGCCUUCCUCGGUCGUGGCCUUGGGUUCUACGUGGAAUGGCACAAGUCUCUGCUCCCUUGGGCCUGGGCAGCAGCAGAAGAAAGGCGAGGCUUGUUUAGUAAGGUCUCCAGAAGCUGUGAAAUAUCACCUGGACAGACUGUUCUAGAAGCUCGCAGCAGACACUGUGCUCCUAAUUACUCUGUCAUCGGUAAGAUGUGAGUCCUGCUGAAACAAAAAGCCUCUGAAGAUAGAAAGAGCAUGAACUUCAUUCAUUAUGUAACAUCCCCGGGCUAUUUGGGGCACUCCGUGAGCUUCCUAAUAGAACUCUUACCACCGUUUGACGUGUGAUGAGUGCAAAGUGAACGAAUACAGAAAAUAAGUAAUUAAUAGGAAGCAGCUGACACGCUGUUCUGAUCGUCCCGACCUAGAGAAGAGUCUCUUUCCUCUGGUGCUUAAUUAAUAUUCAGAUCACACCACAUUUUUUCAUUGCAGGUCUAAUGAAUGACACUCGUGAAUUCUUUUGGAGAAUGAGAAUCAUUUCAAGGUGUGGAACAGUUCACAGAGAGGCAUCCUGGGCUCCCAGUUCUCAUUUUUCCUCCCUAGGACCUCUCCUCAAACCAGGCUGCAGCUUGCUGCCGCCUUGUCUUCCUCCCCAUCCAAGUUGGUACUCCUGGCUAACGUUCACUCUAGCCUUAGCUCAAAGAUUAUGUCUGGGGGUGGUGUCAUGUGUGCCUGCAAUCAGAGCACUCAGGAGGCUGAGCCAAAUGGAUUAUGAGUUCAAGACCAGCCUGGAUGAUGUAGUGAGGUGUUUUCUUACUGUGAACUCAGGUCAGGAACAUGAGACAGCUAGAUAAUAGAUAGAUAGAUAGACAGACAGACAGACAGACAGAUAAAUGAUCCUUACAUAAAUGGCAGAUAUAUUAGAGAUGUAUAGAUACAUGAUAGGUAGAUAAAUAGAUGAUAGAUAGAUAGGUAGGCAGAUAGAUAAUAGACGGUAGAUAGCUAGAUGGAUAGGUAUAGACAGACAGACAGACAGACAGACAGAUAAUAGAUGGAUGGAUUGAUGAGUAGAGUGAGCGCGGCAGAGCAGAGAAUAGUGAGACUAGCUGGGUUAUAAGACGGAUGAGGAGCUGAGGGGGGGAAGUGCCGGAGCUGGAGGGAGUUUAGGGCAGAGGAGGAGGUGAGAAGAGCUAGAAUACUAGUGGACAUUAAAGUGUAUAACAGGUACUUGUGACAUUGAGGGAGCCUGGAGGCCAGCAUGUACUGUGAUAUGCUGACAGCCAUCACAGGUAGUCAAAUGUAAAGGAAAUGACUCCUUUUGGCAGAUGGGAACCAGGUUCACAAAUUCCUGAGGAUGCUGACUUUUAUCUAACUGCCAGAAACCAUAGAGUCCAGCUCAAACUCAUUUCUGGAUAUACGGACUGCCUUUUGGAGUUGGGAAAACUGGAGUUCCCUUUGGAUCUGACAGGAAUACUCCUGUCCUGUUAGGGGUCGAGCAUGCACACCACAGCCACAUUCUCAGCCCAUUAAAUGGUUCUGAGACCAUUUCCCAUUGCAGCAGGGGCUUCCCAAGGCUGGAAGAGGCACCAAUGGGAAGAAGGCAGUCCGGGGCCAAUGCGAUGGCUUAGUGGAUAAAGACAGGCUGAUGGCCUGAAUUUAUGUAAAAUCAUUGUUAAAGAUAGGACUGGGGUUGUAGCUUAAGGGUGGAGAGCUUGCCUUCCACAUGUAAGGCCCCGGGUUCAAUCCCCAGUAUUGAGACAACAAUAAAAACUGUGGUUGGGUGUGGGGCACACACCUUUAACCCUAGCGCUCGGGCAGAGGCCAGCCUGGUCUGCAUAGGGAGUUGAGACUACACAGCGAGUCUGUCUCAGCUGUAACAACAGCAGCCGAGACAUUUUAGCAGACAGUUUGGCACCAUGUCGCAGGCCUUUACUGACUGUUGUAUUGUGGGCUUUCCUCCUGCUCCUGUUGUUAAUAAAGAUCCCAGCUCUUUAGACCAAACUGUCGUCUCAGGUCAACAGUUGCAGUAAGUAUCCCUUUAAAGCUCACAUGUGCACGUCUUGGCUUAACUUUUCCUCAGGAAGUUGGAUAUGAUUCAUGCUUAGCUUUGUCCUCCUUUACACAUGAGCAUUUGUCAUCUGUCCUCACCAGGAAAGAGCUGCAGCGAUCACGACGCAGGCUGUGGGACAUUCGUGUUUUCUUCUCAUUUUGCUCACGACCUUAGGGUUCUGCUUUGAUGACACACUCCACAGCAGUGUUUAAUUUCUCCUCCUUCUGGCUGCUGGGGUCGGGUCUCUGUGGCAUCUCUGAAAUAAUGAGAAUAGUGUAAGGUCAUUGUCACUGUUCAGACGACUGUCACUGCACGGGAGUUGUAAAUUGUGGCAAAAGCGCUCAACUAAUUUUCACACAUAAUUCCUUUCAAAGAAUUCCUUUGUUCUUGUGCAAAAUUAAACAUUACCAAAACAAAUAGCUUAAAAUGCAAAUUUGGAGAUGCUUUUAGAGAACAACAGACUGAAGAACUGCAUUUCAGAUUAGCUGUCAAUCGAGCCCCCAUUUGUCAAUAAUUUCUCAGAAGAGCCUGGGAUGUUCUCUUCUUCUUAUUUUCAUUUAUAAAUUCAAUUCAGAAGUGCAAUGAGACCAACAGAUUCUCCUGCCUCGCUGUCUAAUUUACUUACUUCUCGA